rnacentral:lncRNA from 1 species
CAACAGGUAAUGUGAUAGUGCCAACUUGAAUCAAGCAAGAUUUCUAAACAACGGAUGUAAUGAAAGUUUCUCCUAACGGAGUCUCCAAUAAUAGGUCAAAGUCUAAUUUCUCCGUAGUCAAGUUCAAACGUUGAGCGCAAGCAAGAGAGAUAAAAGAAUGGGUAGAACCGGUAUCUAGUAAGGUAUAAACUUCGCAAGAAUUAUAAUUAACUAACCCGUGCUAAACUCGUUCGGGUUCCUCGCAUUUUGACCGGUCACGACAAACGCUCUUCCAGGAAC